AGGGAUUCUGCAUCUUCAGAGCUGCUUCUCUUCCUUUUCCCUGUUCUGACUUCAGGAUCUGGACCUACCUCAAUUGCUUUUGCUGCUUGUUCUUUUGUUUCAAAUUCCACAAACGCAAAUCCCUUUGGAUCUCCAAUAGACUUAUAAUGUGGUAUACUUAUAUAAAAAACAUUGCCACAUUUCCCAAAGACUCUUUCAAUCCAGCUGUGAUUAACAUUUUUGGGAAGUAACUCCUAUUAUAAAUUAAAUGCAUUAUUAGAGUUUUUCACAAUCAGAAUGUCAAUAAAUUUUUAACUUA